GACGAACGCUGGCGGCGUGCUUAACACAUGCAAGUCGAACGGUAAGGCCCUUCGGGGUACACGAGUGGCGAACGGGUGAGUAACACGUGGGUGAUCUGCCCUGCACUUCGGGAUAAGCCUGGGAAACUGGGUCUAAUACCGGAUAGGACUCCGGACUGCAUGGUCUGGGGUGGAAAGCUUUUGCGGUGUGGGAUGGGCCCGCGGCCUAUCAGUUUGUUGGUGGGGUGAUGGCCUACCAAGGGGACGACGGGUAGCCGGCCUGACGAGGGUGACCGGCCACACUGGGACUGAGAUACGGCCCAGACUCCUACGGGAGGCAGCAGUGGGGAAUAUUGCACAAUGGGCGCAAGCCUGAUGCAGCAACGCCGCGUGAGGGAUGACGGCCUUCGGGUUGUAAACCUCUUUUAGUAGGGAAGAAGCGAAAGUGACGGUACCUGCAGAAAAAGCACCGGCUAACUACGUGCCAGCCGCCGCGGUAA
rnacentral:rRNA from 1 species